GCUAAAGGGGUUUGCAACCCCAUAAGAACAACAAUAUCAACCAACUGGAGCUUCCAGACACUAAACCACUAUCCAAAGGGUGCACAUGGACAGACCCACGACUCCAGCUGCAUACAUAGCAGAGGAUGGCCUUGUUGGGCAUCAACGGGAGGAGAAGCCCUUGUUCCUGUUAAGGCUGGAUGCCCCAGUGUAGGGGAAUGUUAGGGCGGGGAGGCAGAAAGGGGUGAGUGGGUGGGUGGGAGAACACCCUCAUAGAAGCAGGGGAAGGGGGUAUGGGAUAGAGGGUUAUGGAUGGGAAACUAGGAAAGGGGAUAGCAUUUGAAAUGUAAAUUUAAAAAAUUC
rnacentral:lncRNA from 1 species